UUUUCCGGUUAAUCCCGCCGGACCCCACUGCUAUCGAGGUGGGACUAAGCCAUGCAAGUCGAACGACCCCGAACUAUGGCGGGGAAGUGGCAGACUGCUCAGUAACACGUAGUUAACCUACCCUUAGGACGGAAACAACCCCGGGAAACUGGGGCUAAUAUCCGAUAGGAGUGUAAACCUGGAAUGGUUACACUCCGAAUAGUCUUUGCGUCCAUGUUGCGUAUUGAUGCCUAAGGAUGGGACUGCGGCCGAUCAGGCAGUUGGUGAGGUAAAGGCUCACCAAACCUUUGACCGGUACGGGCCGUGAGAGCGGUAGCCCGGAGAUGGGCACUGAGACAGUGGCCCAGGCCCUACGGGGCGCAGCAGGCGCGAAACCUCCACAAUGCACGAAAGUGCGAUGGGGCUACCUCGAGUGCCGCCUGAAGAAGGCGGCUUUUCUAUGGUGUAAUGAGCCAUAGGAAUAAGAGGGGGGCAAGACUGGUGUCAGCCGCCGCGGUAACACCAGCUCCUCGAGUGGUGGGGAUGAUUAUUUGGCCUAAAGCGUCCGUAGCCGGCUAGGUAAGUCUCUCGUUAAAUCCAGCGUCCUAAGCGUUGGGCUGCGAGGGAGACUGCAGAGCUAGAGGAUGGGAGAAGUCAGCGGUAUUUCUGGGGUAGGGGCGAAAUCCUUUGAUCCCAGGAGGACCACCAGUGGCGAAGGCUGCUGACUAGAACAAGUCUGACGGUCAGGGACGAAAGCUGGGGGAGCGAAUCGGAUUAGAUACCCGAGUAGUCCCAGCUGUAAACGAUGCAGGCUAGGUGUUGGAGCGGCCACGCGCCGCUUCAGUGCCACAGGGAAGCCAUUAAGCCUGCCGCCUGGGGAGUACGGCCGCAAGGCUGAAACUUAAAGGAAUUGGCGGGGGAGCACCACCAGGCGUGAAGCCUGCGGUUUAAUUGGAGUCAACGCCGGAAAUCACUAGU
rnacentral:rRNA from 1 species